rnacentral:rRNA from 1 species
GACGUAGGGUCCAAGCGUUGUCCGGAUUUACUGGGCGUAGAGCGCGCGUAGGCGGUCUGUUAAGUGCACAAGUGAAAGCUCCGGGCUCAACUCGGAAAUUGCUUUGCAUACUGGCAGGCUGGAGGGACGCAGAGGUCUGUGGAAUUCCUGGUGUAACGGUGAAAUGCGCAGAUAUCAGGAGGAACACCGGUGGCGAAGGCGGGUCUCUGGGCAACAACUGACGCUGAGGAGCGAAAGCGUGGGGAGCGAACAGG